rnacentral:rRNA from 1 species
CACGAACCGUACAAACGUUAUUCGGAAUUAUUGGGCUUAAAGGGUGCGUAGGCGGCGUCGUAGGUGGGGUGUGAAAGCCCUCGGCUCAACCGAGGAAUUGCGCCCCAAACCACGGUGCUAGAGGGAGACAGAGGUAAGCGGAACUGAUGGUGGAGCGGUGAAAUGCGUUGAUAUCAUCAGGAACACCGGUGGCGAAAGCGGCUUACUGGGUCUCUUCUGACGCUGAGGCACGAAAGCUAGGGUAGCGAACGGG